AGCUCUGGAGUGAGGAGAGGCAUCAGCUAAACCCCUCACCCAGACAGGUAGAGGCAGAAGACUGCUCAGAGCCCCCGCGCAUCCCCCAUAGUCCCUGAGAGCGGGGCAUCUGCUUUGAUGUUAGUUUCUGGGCCUGCUCCUGCUGGUUCCAGAACCUCCUCUUCUGCAACUUCUGAAAUGGAAAGCAUGCUUCUCAGAGCCUCCCUCAAGGCCUCGGAAGGUGAGGAAGUUGGCCAUUUUCUUCCUGUAGUCAGCCUCUGCUGGACAUCCUUCUUGGCUCAUCUUCUCUGCAGUUCUCAUGGAUAAGGAACCUGGAGUUCUCUGCCUGGAUGUCUUGUCUUUCAAAUCUCUGAGUGCUCGCGCAGUGUCAUGACCUCAAUCUUCCAGCAAUAAUCCCCUCUGUUACAUCCAUGCUCAUCUGGCAUGGGGAUAAGGGAAGCUGGGAAGUCUGGUCUCAGUGAUCCCAUCCAUAUAGCUAAGUCAAAAUACCCUGUCCCUGUGGAUAGGACCUGAGUUUGGAGAAGCCACCAAGAGGAAGCUGGAAGUAAGAGCCCCAGGUAUCUGCUCAGGGCUGGACCCUAAGCUAAAAGCCCCUAAGCAUCCCUCCACACUCAAGUCCUCUGACAUCAGUCUGUUUCAAUGUUCUCUUUCUCGGCCUCCUUCUCUGGGACUCUUUUGAGCUUUCCUUUCUAUCUGUUUAUCUUUCUGUGUACCCUUCCUUCUGUCUUUCUACAUCACUCUCUCCAUUUCUAUUUCCUUCUUUCUGUCAUUGGGAGGUUCUGCCUUCACUUAACUUUGCCUCUACAUCAGCCUUCCUCAUUUUCUAUCCUUCUAUUUCUCCCUCCUUCUAUUUCCCCAUCUAAUGUAAAGUCUAUUUAACAUAUAUGUCUUUUUCUUUCCCCCUUCCCUGUCUCAGUUUGUGUCUUCACCUCUAUUUUCUUCCUUGGUCUUUCGAUCCACCUUAUCUCUCUCUUUUUCUAAGCAAGCUCUACGCCCAACAUCAGGCUCGAACUCAGGACCCGGAGAUCAAGAGUCGCACGCUCCACUGACAGAGCCAGCCAAACUCCCCUCUCUCUGCUUUUCUAUCCUGUUCUGCUUCUGGUGCAUUUCAUUCUCAAUCUCUUCCAUUUCUAUUUCCCUUUCUGUGCUUGCCUCCCUUCCAAUCUUCUGGCUCUAGCUGUGUAUUCAUUUCCUAUCUCUUUCUGCCUCCCCAAAUCUGGCUUUCUCUCUCUCUCCCUGGGUCCUGCAGGUGCCUCUACACCAUGCCUGUGUCAUGCCCAUCUCAUUACUGCACAAGGUCCAGGACACUGAGUCCUCUGAUGUCUGUCUGUCUCACACACACCCCAUGCCCUGGAGUGAGCAGAGCUGGACACAGCUACCAGAAUUGUCCUUCCUUUCCCCACCAUCUAGGCCAUCCAUCUCAACUCAGCUCCAAGCCCAAACUUUUAAAAAAUGAUGUUUCUUCCAAUUUCUUAUUCUGAAAAUUGGCAAUUAAAAAGAAAAAGAAUUGGGGUGCUUGGCUGGCUCAGUUGGUGGAGUGUGUAACUCUUGAUCUUGGGGUUGUAGGCUCAAGCCCCACGUUGGGUAUACAGAUUACGUAAAAAUAAAAUCUUUGGGAAAAAAAAAACAAUUAGGUAUUUAUGCUGCCUGUGCUGUAUAAACUAUAUUUCAGGGUAGCCAAAUAGCUCUUAAGAAGAAUUCCAGCUAAUGUGGAAGGAAUACGGAAUUAGAAAAAUCAUUGGGCAGCCCCUGAUCAAAUAAUUGAUCAAAGCAAGAAUCAUGAAUGGAUGAAACCAAAGAUGAUGGUUGAUGGUGAACUUUACAAUGGAGGAAUCAAGCCGUGACCACCUAACCCCACUGAGGAAUCUUACCAUCACUAAAAGGGGUAUAACCCCUCUACUGUGUACCUCCUGGGGUGAUGCAAUCUGAAGCACUCAGCACCACCCAUGAAAGACUCUUGCCAAACAAAGGAACAAACACACACACAAAACUGAACAUGAUUCUAAUCAAACCUCUAAAACCAACCUCCAUUUAACAGGAAAUAUCAGGGAUGGAGGAACAAUUUAAAUGACACAACGAGGAAGUAAGAAGACACAUCCAGAGAGUGGGAACUUUUCAAGGAAAUGUGGCUCAAUUUCUUCAACUAGUCAAUGGCUAGGGGGGAAAAUUGAGAGAGGACAUAAAAGGACUACUAUUAUAUGGGGCAUGUGGACUCUUGGUUCCUGAUUGGAUAACCCAAUUGUAAAAAGACAGUUUCAGACAGUUGGAGCCUUUUACUUACGGACUGGAGAAUGCCAAGGAGUCGGUAUUGAUUUUGUUAGACAUAAAAUGGCUUCAGGGUUUUGUAAGAAAAGGGCCUUAUUUCCUAGGGGUGCAUAUUGAAGUAUGGAGUGAAGUGACAUACUUACUUUUAAAUAUUUGGGCAGAUAAAAAAAAGGACGGAAUUAAAGGAAUAGAAGCAAUGAAGUGACAGAAUUGUAUUAUUGAAUUAACUAUGUAGGGGUUCAUAGAACUCUGCUCUCUACCUGUGUGUAUGUUUAAACAUUUUCAUAAUAAAAGUUUUAAAUGUUG